UUCCGGAGUUCGUGUCAAACUUUUUAUAUACAUUUCUUCCGCAAACCAGUAAAAUCAGAAUGAGGUCCUUGCGAAGAUAUGUUUAUUUUCGUGGGAUCCUAUGUAAUACGGUAGUACGGGUUGGGGCCUUGACCGUUUAUGCAUGCUUCGGCAAACUUUACAGGACUGGUUGAAAGUGAGAAACAUAUAUUGAUAUCAUACAGAGAUAUUAAACAAUGAUACAAAUUAAUAAACGAACCUUUCGCUUGAACCAGUAUUCCUAUCUUUCAUUAAGAAAGAAUUUAAACAGGACUGUUUUCUUGGCCGUGCCAUAAUGAAAUAACCAACCCAACCGCGGGUAGGGCACUUUCACCUACUUCGUGGGAAAGUGGGGUAGGGUUGUUUGAACUUCAAUUAUCAAAUAAACUGUUUAUAAAAUCCGCAACUACCAUGUCACAAUUGUUUUACUUGAACUGCUAAAAGCCUAUGAUAUUUUUUCACCAAACGCAGUACCGCGAUGAAGUAUAAUAUAUUUAUAAAACUUAUAAAUAAACCGUAGGUCAGUUUAUUAGUAAUCACGUUGAUUCUGCUAAACUUACUGUUUUAUAUACUUCUUUGAAUGUUAAAACAGAUGCAAUGCGACGACAUUAAUAUUCGUCGUCUGUUCAGAUACUUUAUUGAGCUGAGGACAACCCAUGCUUUGCAAAUUUUAGGGGGGGCGCACGCCCGCCACGCCCCCGCCUAAAUCCGCCC
rnacentral:lncRNA from 1 species